rnacentral:ncRNA from 2 species
UCAAUAGGUAGAGGCGCAUUGGUUAAAUAGUAAGCGUACAUUCGAGGUGGGCGACACCGUACGGCGAAAGGUAACCGAUGCCGAAGCAGGAGUCAUCGCCGGGGCUUUUGCUGGUUCGUCAUCAUAAUAGGUGCCGAACUGUCACAUAUGUGGAGAGCUAACCAUUGG